rnacentral:rRNA from 1 species
GGGUUGUGAGGUUAAGCGACUAAGCGUACACGGUGGAUGCCCUGGCAGUCAGAGGCGAUGAAGGACGUGCUAAUCUGCGAUAAGCGUCGGUAAGGUGAUAUGAACCGUUAUAACCGGCGAUUUCCGAAUGGGGAAACCCAGUGUGAUUCGUCACACUAUCAUUAACUGAAUCCAUAGGUUAAUGAGGCGAACCGGGGGAACUGAAACAUCUAAGUACCCCGAGGAAAAGAAAUCAACCGAGAUUCCCCCAGUAGCGGCGAGCGAACGGGGAGCAGCCCAGAGCCUGAAUCAGUGUGUGUGUUAGUGGAAGCGUCUGGAAAGGCGCGCGAUACAGGGUGACAGCCCCGUACACAAAAAUGCACAUGCUGUGAGCUCGAUGAGUAGGGCGGGACACGUGGUAUCCUGUCUGAAUAUGGGGGGACCAUCCUCCAAGGCUAAAUACUCCUGACUGACCGAUAGUGAACCAGUACCGUGAGGGAAAGGCGAAAAGAACCCCGGCGAGGGGAGUGAAAAAGAACCUGAAACCGUGUACGUACAAGCAGUGGGAGCACAGAGCAAUCUGUGUGACUGCGUACCUUUUGUAUAAUGGGUCAGCGACUUAUAUUCUGUAGCAAGGUUAACCGAAUAGGGGAGCCGAAGGGAAACCGAGUCUUAACUGGGCGUUAAGUUGCAGGGUAUAGACCCGAAACCCGGUGAUCUAGCCAUGGGCAGGUUGAAGGUUGGGUAACACUAACUGGAGGACCGAACCGACUAAUGUUGAAAAAUUAGCGGAUGACUUGUGGCUGGGGGUGAAAGGCCAAUCAAACCGGGAGAUAGCUGGUUCUCCCCGAAAGCUAUUUAGGUAGCGCCUCGUGAAUUCAUCUCCGGGGGUAGAGCACUGUUUCGGCAAGGGGGUCAUCCCGACUUACCAACCCGAUGCAAACUGCGAAUACCGGAGAAUGUUAUCACGGGAGACACACGGCGGGUGCUAACGUCCGUCGUGAAGAGGGAAACAACCCAGACCGCCAGCUAAGGUCCCAAAGUCAUGGUUAAGUGGGAAACGAUGUGGGAAGGCCCAGACAGCCAGGAUGUUGGCUUAGAAGCAGCCAUCAUUUAAAGAAAGCGUAAUAGCUCACUGGUCGAGUCGGCCUGCGCGGAAGAUGUAACGGGGCUAAACCAUGCACCGAAGCUGCGGCAGCGACGCUUAUGCGUUGUUGGGUAGGGGAGCGUUCUGUAAGCCUGUGAAGGUGUACUGUGAGGUAUGCUGGAGGUAUCAGAAGUGCGAAUGCUGACAUAAGUAACGAUAAAGCGGGUGAAAAGCCCGCUCGCCGGAAGACCAAGGGUUCCUGUCCAACGUUAAUCGGGGCAGGGUGAGUCGACCCCUAAGGCGAGGCCGAAAGGCGUAGUCGAUGGGAAACAGGUUAAUAUUCCUGUACUUGGUGUUACUGCGAAGGGGGGACGGAGAAGGCUAUGUUGGCCGGGCGACGGUUGUCCCGGUUUAAGCGUGUAGGCUGGUUUUCCAGGCAAAUCCGGAAAAUCAAGGCUGAGGCGUGAUGACGAGGCACUACGGUGCUGAAGCAACAAAUGCCCUGCUUCCAGGAAAAGCCUCUAAGCAUCAGGUAACAUCAAAUCGUACCCCAAACCGACACAGGUGGUCAGGUAGAGAAUACCAAGGCGCUUGAGAGAACUCGGGUGAAGGAACUAGGCAAAAUGGUGCCGUAACUUCGGGAGAAGGCACGCUGAUAUGUAGGUGAAGCGACUUGCUCGUGGAGCUGAAAUCAGUCGAAGAUACCAGCUGGCUGCAACUGUUUAUUAAAAACACAGCACUGUGCAAACACGAAAGUGGACGUAUACGGUGUGACGCCUGCCCGGUGCCGGAAGGUUAAUUGAUGGGGUCAGCGCAAGCGAAGCUCUUGAUCGAAGCCCCGGUAAACGGCGGCCGUAACUAUAACGGUCCUAAGGUAGCGAAAUUCCUUGUCGGGUAAGUUCCGACCUGCACGAAUGGCGUAAUGAUGGCCAGGCUGUCUCCACCCGAGACUCAGUGAAAUUGAACUCGCUGUGAAGAUGCAGUGUACCCGCGGCAAGACGGAAAGACCCCGUGAACCUUUACUAUAGCUUGACACUGAACAUUGAGCCUUGAUGUGUAGGAUAGGUGGGAGGCUUUGAAGUGUGGACGCCAGUCUGCAUGGAGCCGACCUUGAAAUACCACCCUUUAAUGUUUGAUGUUCUAACGUUGACCCGUAAUCCGGGUUGCGGACAGUGUCUGGUGGGUAGUUUGACUGGGGCGGUCUCCUCCUAAAGAGUAACGGAGGAGCACGAAGGUUGGCUAAUCCUGGUCGGACAUCAGGAGGUUAGUGCAAUGGCAUAAGCCAGCUUGACUGCGAGCGUGACGGCGCGAGCAGGUGCGAAAGCAGGUCAUAGUGAUCCGGUGGUUCUGAAUGGAAGGGCCAUCGCUCAACGGAUAAAAGGUACUCCGGGGAUAACAGGCUGAUACCGCCCAAGAGUUCAUAUCGACGGCGGUGUUUGGCACCUCGAUGUCGGCUCAUCACAUCCUGGGGCUGAAGUAGGUCCCAAGGGUAUGGCUGUUCGCCAUUUAAAGUGGUACGCGAGCUGGGUUUAGAACGUCGUGAGACAGUUCGGUCCCUAUCUGCCGUGGGCGCUGGAGAACUGAGGGGGGCUGCUCCUAGUACGAGAGGACCGGAGUGGACGCAUCACUGGUGUUCGGGUUGUCAUGCCAAUGGCACUGCCCGGUAGCUAAAUGCGGAAGAGAUAAGUGCUGAAAGCAUCUAAGCACGAAACUUGCCCCGAGAUGAGUUCUCCCUGACUCCUUGAGAGUCCUGAAGGAACGUUGAAGACGACGACGUUGAUAGGCCGGGUGUGUAAGCGCAGCGAUGCGUUGAGCUAACCGGUACUAAUGAACCGUGAGGCUUAACCUUACAACGCCGAAGCUGUU